UAAGUCAAGAACGAGUGUGAGAGUGGAAAGUUCACACUGUGACGGUAGCUUACCAGAAAGGGACGGCUAACUACGUGCCAGCAGCCGCGGUAAUACGUAGGUCCCGAGCGUUGUCCGGAUUUAUUGGGCGUAAAGCGAGCGCAGGCGGUUUGAUAAGUCUGAAGUUAAAGGCUGUGGCUCAACCAUAGUUCGCUUUGGAAACUGUCAAACUUGAGUGCAGAAGGGGAGAGUGGAAUUCCUGGUGUAG
rnacentral:rRNA from 1 species